UGAGUAAAUUUGUUUCGUAUUAUACAAGUAUCAAAAGUAAGUCGUAACAAGCUGCUAAGAAUGUGCAGCUCAUAAGUCUCUACGAAAGUUUUUUUACGAUAAACAAUUAAAAAAAAGACAAUGUGUCAGUCUAAUAUAGGAAUGUAAUAAAACCAUCAUAAAAAGUAGUGAGUAGAUCCGUUUCCCUGCAGCACAACACGCUGUCAUCUUGAACAAAGUAAAUACAGAUUCAGGGUAGCCAAUUGCAAUGCAGCGCUUGCCCGUUUCCGGUCAGACCGAUCAACGAAUAAAGCAUUAAGAAACCGUUCGAGUUUACAGUUCCCUUCUCACGUUGUCGGCACUUGUGCAGUUGCAACCAAGUCUCUUUAUUCACUUUUACGAUAUAUCCACAUAUAUAAUCUACAAGCAGGAAGUUAGAAUCGACACCAGAUGUUGUCGAGAGCAAACAAAUAUAAAAAGAGAAUAAAAAAAAAAGGUGAAAAAAAACAAAAAACAAAAUCAAAAACAAAAAAAAUCAACAAACAUUAUAGCGGAUGCUGGGGAUGAGAAUGGCCGUAGUAAUUCCCGCGCACUUUAUCUCGCUUAUCAAACCCGGAAUGACCUGGCGUAAAAUAAUCAACUUUGCGUCAGAAGUAAAUUUAUCCAGUUCUAUAAUAAUUAUGUCAUUAAUAUUAUGACAUUUUAUAUCAACAAUAAUAUACAUAUGUAUCUAGAACCAAAUCAAGCUUCAUUAUAUCUUAUAAAUAACGGAAAAAAUAUUUUUCAUACAAUCACCAUUAUUAUUAUUUUAUUGUAUACAUUUCUCAUUAAUUCGUUCAACUAAUGUAAUCAAAAGUGUAUACGUUAUGAUUAUAUAUAAAAUAUCAUCUACAGAUUUACACACAUUUAUGCAAAUAAAGAAAUAAGAUAUCUAGUAAACAUUUAUUACACUUAAGAACGCUGCAAUGUAAUUUAAUACACAAUCAGAAAUUAACAUUGAACGAUUUUUAAAAUAUACAAUUAGUUAGUUAUGAUACUGAAGUUAGCCGAUGUCCAAUAGUUUUAGGAUUUUUUUUAAACGAUUAAUUAUAAAAAAAGUAUUUAAAAAAAUUCCAUCUAUACUUUACUUAAUUUUCUACGUCUUCAUAUUUUUUUUUUUUUUUUUUUAUAAUUGAUUUGUUAAAAACAACAAAAUUCGAAA